rnacentral:rRNA from 1 species
GAUGAACACUGGCGGCGUGCCUAACACAUGCAAGUCGAACGGAGUUAUGAAGUUUUCGGACGGAUUAACUUAGUGGCGGACGGGUGAGUAACGCGUGGGUAACCUGCCUCAUACAGGGGGAUAACAGUUGGAAACGACUGCUAAAACCGCAUAACAUUGCGAUGCAGCAUGGCGAUGCAAUUAAAUAUUUAUAGGUAUGAGAUGGGCCCGCGUCUGAUUAGCUAGUUGGUGAGGUAAUGGCUCACCAAGGCGACGAUCAGUAGCCGGCUUGAGAGAGUGACCGGCCACAUUGGGACUGAGACACGGCCCAAACUCCUACGGGAGGCAUCAGUGGGGAAUAUUGCACAAUGGGCGAAAGCCUGAUGCAGCGACGCCGCGUGAGUGAAGAAGUAUUUCGGUAUGUAAAGCUCUAUCAGCAGGGAAGAUAAUGACGGUACCUGACUAAGAAGCCCCGGCUAACUACGUGCCAGCAGCCGCAGUAA